CGCUGGCGGCAGGCCUAACACAUGCAAGUCGAGCGGUAGCACAGAGAGCUUGCUCUCGGGUGACGAGCGGCGGACGGGUGAGUAAUGUCUGGGAAACUGCCUGAUGGAGGGGGAUAACUACUGGAAACGGUAGCUAAUACCGCAUAAUGUCGCAAGACCAAAGUGGGGGACCUUCGGGCCUCAUGCCAUCAGAUGUGCCCAGAUGGGAUUAGCUAGUAGGUGGGGUAACGGCUCACCUAGGCGACGAUCCCUAGCUGGUCUGAGAGGAUGACCAGCCACACUGGAACUGAGACACGGUCCAGACUCCUACGGGAGGCAGCAGUGGGGAAUAUUGCACAAUGGGCGCAAGCCUGAUGCAGCCAUGCCGCGUGUGUGAAGAAGGCCUUCGGGUUGUAAAGCACUUUCAGCGGGGAGGAAGGCGUUAAGGUUAAUAACCUUGGCGAUUGACGUUACCCGCAGAAGAAGCACCGGCUAACUCCGUGCCAGCAGCCGCGGUAAUACGGAGGGUGCAAGCGUUAAUCGGAAUUACUGGGCGUAAAGCGCACGCAGGCGGUCUGUCAAGUCGGAUGUGAAAUCCCCGGGCUCAGCCUGGGAACUGCAUUCGAAACUGGCAGGCUAGAGUCUUGUAGAGGGGGGUAGAAUUCCAGGUGUAGCGGUGAAAUGCGUAGAGAUCUGGAGGAAUACCGGUGGCGAAGGCGGCCCCCUGGACAAAGACUGACGCUCAGGUGCGAAAGCGUGGGGAGCAAACAGGAUUAGAUACCCUGGUAGUCCACGCCGUAAACGAUGUCGAUUUGGAGGUUGUGCCCUUGAGGCGUGGCUUCCGGAGCUAACGCGUUAAAUCGACCGCCUGGGGAGUACGGCCGCAAGGUUAAAACUCAAAUGAAUUGACGGGGGCCCGCACAAGCGGUGAAGCAUGUGGUUUAAUUCGAUGCAACGCGAAGAACCUUACCUGGUCUUGACAUCCACAGAACUUUCCAGAGAUGGAUUGGUGCCUUCGGGAACUGUGAGACAGGUGCUGCAUGGCUGUCGUCAGCUCGUGUUGUGAAAUGUUGGGUUAAGUCCCGCAACGAGCGCAACCCUUAUCCUUUGUUGCCAGCGGUUAGGCCGGGAACUCAAAGGAGACUGCCAGUGAUAAACUGGAGGAAGGUGGGGAUGACGUCAAGUCAUCAUGGCCCUUACGACCAGGGCUACACACGUGCUACAAUGGCAUAUACAAAGAGAAGCGACCUCGCGAGAGCAAGCGGACCUCAUAAAGUAUGUCGUAGUCCGGAUUGGAGUCUGCAACUCGACUCCAUGAAGUCGGAAUCGCUAGUAAUCGUAGAUCAGAAUGCUACGGUGAAUACGUUCCCGGGCCUUGUACACACCGCCCGUCACACCAUGGGAGUGGGUUGCAAAAGAAGUAGGUAGCUUAACCUUCGGGAGGGCGCUUACCACUUUGUGAUUCAUGACUG
rnacentral:rRNA from 1 species